GUGGUCAAUCAGCGCGCUGCGGCUGCUCUUGAUCAGAGAGUGGGAGUUACGCAGCUCCAUCAGCCAGUUCCUGAAGCUGCGUCCGGUGAAGGUGCUCGGGCUGCAGCUUAUGUCCUGCAGAGGAAUUCCUGAGUCACGGAUGGUAUCGAGAGCCUUCAUUCUGUACAGGUAGUUGUAGCAACCUUAAACACACAAACAAGGCCAUUACACAACACUUAAAAA